GUGAACAGCCCCCUAACUCGUGGGGACCCCCCCAGUCUGUCAUCUCAGCAGCCAGCCCCAGCACCCCCAGCCCAUAGCCCUGGCACAGGGGUCCCUGUGUGCCCCCCGCUGUGGUCCCCAGCCCUCCUGUGGCUCCUGCCCCUACCCCUGUGACAGUAACCCCCUGUAGCCACGGCACCCAUCUCUGUUGCCGUGGUGCCCCCCACUGCCAUGGUGCUCCAGUUGCCGUGGUGACCCUCUUGCGAAGGUGCCCCAUUGCCAAGAUGCCACCACCACCACAGCACCUGGUCGCUGAGGCAUCCUCUUCCCGUGGCACCCCAUCACCGUGGUACCCAGUUGCUGAGGGGUCCCAUCACUGUGGCACCCCAUCACCGAGAUGCCGGUCGCUGAGGCAUCCUGUUGCCACGGCACCCCGUCACUGAGGUCCCCCAUUGCCACAACACCCCAUCACCAAGGCACUCUGUCACCAUGUCACCCCAUUGCUGUGGCACCCGGUCCCCGCGGUGCCUGCUGGGGUGACACCCGGCUGCCCUGUGCCCCCAGGAGCUGCGGAGCGGGUGCUUCUGGCGGGGGGUGCUGGCGGAGACAUCAGCGACGCUUAUCUUCGUGGGGGUGGUACUGGGCGCCUCGGCAGCCCCCGGGCCCCUGGCACCAGCGCUGGCCGGGGGGCUGGCAGCUGGGGCGCUGGCCUGCACCCUCGGGGCACCCCAGGCCAACCCGGCACUCACCCUGGCCCUGCUCUGCACCCGCAAGCUGGGUGCCCUGCGCGGGGCUGCCGGACUCCUGGCCCAGUGUGCCGGGGCCGUGCUGGCCUCCGCCGCCGCCCGCCUGGUGCUGCCGGACGACGCCAGCCUCAUCACCAGGGUGAGUGUCCCUGUCCCCGUCCCGGUGACAGUGACAGGGUGCUGAGGCUGGGUUGUUGUGGCAGGUGAGUGCGGCAGGGACGGCGAGGCAGGCACUGGCCUGGGAGACCUUCGCCACCUUCCAGCUGGCUCUGGUUGCCUUUGCUGCUGCCGACCGGGCAGCCCCCCAGGGCGGGCUGGCCCUGGGCAGCGCUGUGGCUGCCGGCGCCCUGGCCGCGGGGCCAUUCUCGGGGGGCAGCAUGAACCCGGCACGCUCGCUGGGACCGGCCAUCGUCACCGGCAUCUGGGACGACCAUUGGGUGUACUGGCUGGGGCCGGUGCUGGGUGCAGUGCUGGCCGGGCUCUCCUACGAGUUCAUCUUCGCCCCCAGUGCCUCCCGGGAGAAACUGGGUGCCUGCCUCGCCUGCCGGGACGUGGCGCUGGUGGAGACCACCAGCCCGUCCCCCUCCUCGCCCUCUGCCCGCGGCCCCCCGGCCCCCCCCAGCUGAGCGGGGCCAGGGCACAGCCUGAGCCCCCCCCAGCCCCCAGCUCUGACCCAGCCCACGGGAGGUGGCACGUGGGCCCCAACACCAGGUCCCUGCCAGCCCCCCAGCCCAGCAUCCUCCAUGGGGGACCCAGGGCACGGUGCCCCCCCCGGCAGGAUAGGGGGGCCCAUGCACAGAUGGCUCCAGCCCCCCCCUCCCCCCCAGGGGGAUUAAAGGUGGCUUUGGGUCAGAGGUGGGUGCAGAGUGUUGCUGUGGGGGACGGGGGGUCUCGACGGCUGCAAGACCCCUGUCCUGCACCCUCAGGGCAUGGGAGCACCCCGAUGCCGGGGUCCUCCCCCGCGCCCCACUUGGGGCCGUGCCCCCUCCCCAGCUCCCCCAGGCAGGUGCCCCCUCCCAGCGGCCCCGCAGCGAGGGUGGGGGCCGGGACCCCCGUCCGCCCCGUCCCGUGCCGGGGCGCUGAGCGCAGCAAAGCCCUUUGUCGCGGCCUCUGCAGCCCCGGCAGAUUUCUGCGGGCGCCAAUGGCCGAGCCUGGCCCUAAUCCCCCCGGCCGGGGAAUUAGUGCCCGCUAAGCCGGGCUGAAUAACCCUCCCGCAGACAACAGGGCUGGGGCGGGGGGAGCCCCCGCGGCCCCCAGUGGGGCUGGCCCAGGGGGGGCACUCAGGGCCCCCCCCUGUGUAGGGCUGGGGGAGGCUGGCUCCCAGCAGGGUCACCCCAAUGUGUCCCCAAAACAUGUGGGGGGGGGCAGGGGGGUGUCUCAGCGUUGCCCCCGGCCCCCCCCAGCACGGUGGUCCCCCAAAACCUGCAGAGGGC
rnacentral:lncRNA from 1 species